UACAGAGGUCUCAAGCGUUGUUCGGAUUCAUUGGGCGUAAAGGGUGUGUAGGCGGCGCGCUAAGUCGGGUGUGAAAUUUCGGAGCUUAACUUCGAAACUGCAUUCGAUACUGGCGUGCUUGAGGACUGGAGAGGAGACUGGAAUUUACGGUGUAGCAGUGAAAUGCGUAGAUAUCGUAAGGAAGACCAGUGGCGAAGGCGGGUCUCUGGACAGUUCCUGACACUGAGACACGAAGGCCAGGGGAGCAAACGGG
rnacentral:rRNA from 1 species